GUACAAGCUACGAGCUUAUAAAACGUAUUAAAUGUAGUAAAACACAAUUUAAGAUUAUUUAUAGAUAAAAGCUUGGACGUAUUUUCGUCAAUAAAUUUAAUUAGGGAAAGAUCAUUCGAAUAAUUGAAUCCCAUAAUUGAAAGCAAUGAAAUUACAAAUAAAUCAAAAACAAUUUAGUCAUUUAACAAUCCAAAUUGUCGGAAAACGAAGAAUUUGAUGAAUAUUUUAUAAAUGUAAGACCA